UUGGAAUCGAAGUCCACAUCCACCACCAUGGCAUCCACAAAUGCGAGAGCCAGAGAGCGGUACAGUGUUACCAGCUCUCAAAAGGUAAACAGCGGGAAAUUUGAAAACUCCAACUGAAAACCGGAACCAUUUUCCGCCUAAUCCUAAUCCCAUUCAUGGUUAGGGCGCGAAAAACUACGCGGGUAAUUUUCUGCGUACCUAUUUUGCUGAGACGUCUUUCCACGAAUUACAAAACAUUUAGAUAAAUCAGGUAGAAAACUAUUGCACAAAACGAAAUGGUUUAGGAUCAGCGAUGGAUCGGAUUAGCCGAUUUACGAUCUUCCGGACUCUGCUCUAAAAAUUAAAAAUCUAGUUAGAGAGUUUGUGAACCUGCUAAUGUUCCACUUAAAGAUUUACAGCACGCGUCGGUCAGUCAUAAAAAUUGGAAGAAAACUCAUUAUCUUACGUCUGCGUUUAGCGUUUAGCAGUUUAAUUACCCUAUAAAGCAAUAAAAACAUGAAAGUUGUACCGCA